AUUGAACGCUGGCGGCAGGCCUAACACAUGCAAGUCGAACGAGUGGCGGACGGGUGAGUAAUGACUGGGAAACUGCCCGCUGGAGGGGGAUAACUACUGGAAACGGUAGCUAAUACCGCAUAACAUAGGAUGUGCACAGAUGGGAGUAGCUGUGAGGUGGGGUAACGGCUCACCUAGGCGACGAUCCCUAGCUGGUAUGAGAGGUUGACCAGCCAAACUGGAACUAGGAAACGGUCAGGACUCCUACGGGAGGUAGCGGUGGGGAAUAUUGCACAAUGGGCGCAAGCCUGAUGCAGCCAGGCCGGGUGUAUGAAGAAGGCCUUCGGGUUGUAAAGUACUUUCAGCGAGGAGGCGUUACUCGCAGAAGAAGCACCGGCUAACUCCGUGCCAGCAGCCGCGGUAAUAC
rnacentral:rRNA from 1 species